rnacentral:piRNA from 1 species
CGUAGUGCCGCCCUUGGUCAUGG